rnacentral:lncRNA from 1 species
GCCAACUUAAAAGGAAACAGGUCAAAUAUCACCAUAAAGAACCAAGCAAAAAUGAGUCACGCUUGUAAUAAAGAAUUCAAUCUAAAAUAAAACAAAUAAACUAAUCCAAUAAAAUAUUAAAGGUACCUAAUUGUAGAAAACAGAAGAUGAGUGAGGGAACACCCAACUAAAGAAACCAACUUAAAAUACUACAUGGGAGAAAGGAAAUAAAUAUAACUUGAUGAAACUUAGCCUUAGUGACUUGAGGAAAAUCUUAUGUUACAACUUCAGAUAUUACAAAUGAAAUCCAGAAAAUUUCUUUUAAGGUAUCCGACCAAUUGGAUGAAUUUCAAUACUAACUUGAAUAUAACAAGAAAAAUUUAGCCUAGCUUAAGCACCUAUGUGUAGUAUACAAAAUCAUUAUUUAUUUAUUUUGGUUCCGCGAUACAUGAAGUCAGAAAGGAAAAGUUUCAACAACAGCAUAUCACCGUGAGGCUUAAAGCAUUCAUAUAUCCAUUUACGACAUGGUAUAAAUCAGUAUAUUGCUUCCCUUGCCCUUUAGUGGCUUUAAACUUUGGAAGAAACUGAAACUUAAUCACAUUGAUAUGUUAAUGAAAUAUUGAUUCGUGAAGUUAAGCAUUGUAUUCAUACACUUAAUGAUCAAAACAUCUGACAAAUAUGAUGAGGCAGUUUCAAAACAUAUUUAACACAUUCAUAAAUUUACUUCAGCUGAAUAAAAUUAUAUUAAGAAUUAGAACUAGAAGAGUACUUAUAUGCAGAAGUUAACCAACGGUGAAAAACUUUGAUUUAAAGCAACUAACAGUCUUAGCACUAACAGCAACAAAUCAACAGCAGAUUUUAACCCAAGGAAAUGACCAGAAGUACCUUGAGACCCGACAAAUUCAAAGAAGAAAGAAUCCCAAGAGUAACUCUAAUAACUUUAGUUUCUUGAAAUAUUGUUUUAGAAAUCUCAUACACAAGCACUAAAAUUUCACCUUACUUUCUUGAUUU